GUGAGGGGGAGGGCGAGUUUCGGGGAAUGUGGAGUGUCGUGGCUGUUUGAAAGUAACGGAAGUGCCGCGAGGCGGAGAGCGGGCGCGCGAUGGGUGGGAAAAACAAACAGCGAACGAAAGGCAAUGUGCAGCCAUCUAGCAGUGGUAAAGCAGCUGAGCUGCUGGCUAAAGACAAGGGAACAGUUCCAGGCUUCAUUGGAUUUGGAGCCAGCCAGAAUGAACUGGGUUAUGUUCCUGCAGUCCAAGGAUUUGAAGAAGUGGAUAGUUUGGUGGAUGCUGACUUUCGAUUGGUUCUACGCAAAAUGUCGAAACGAGAUACAACAACAAAAUUAAAAGCUGUCCAAGAGUUUGGGACAAUGUGCAAAGAGAAACACCUUGAGAAUAUUAAAGGAGUUCUUCCUUAUUGGUCAAGAAUUUACUGCAAAAUUUCUUUGGAUCAUGAUCGUCGGGUUCGAGAAGCAGUACAACAGGCAUUUGAAAUACUUGUCCUUCAAGUGAAGCGGAACUUAGCACCUUAUUUGAAGAUUAUUAUGGGACACUGGCUUGUUGCUCAGUGUGAUACCUACAAUCCAGCAGCCUCAGCAGCAAAAGUAGCAUUUCAAGUUGCAUUUCCACUGAACAAACAGCCAGAAGCUGUGGCUUUUUGUAAAGAAGAAAUUAUGAAUAUCAUAUAUGAUUUCAUCAUGAAGGAAACUCCAGAGACGCUCAGUGAUCCACAAAGUGUUCCAGAGGAAGAAAGGGAAGAAAAAUAUCUAAGGGUUGUUACAAGUUCACUUCUGGCUCUGAAAAAACUACUUGACCUUCUCCCUGAAAAUGAGAACAUUGUCCUGAAGAGCAGACUGAUGGAACUUCUUUCGCAGUCCAAGUUCUGGAAAUACAGCAAGCACAAAACCCCACAGAUCCGUUCAGCUUUCUUUGAAUUGAUUAUUGGUUUUUGCCAAUAUUUGCCUGAAUUGAUGAAAUUUGAAGCUGCACGAGUGUGUCCCGCUGUGCUACUGAACAUAGAUGAUAUGGAUCCAGUUGUAUGCCCGUCUGUGUGGACAGCAGCACUUUAUGUGCCCACCUGCAUUGAGAAUUGCUGGGUCCAUGUAAAUGCAAGGAAAGGAGUUUUGCCAAAGUUGUGGACAGUUCUCAAGGAAGGUGGUCGUGGCCUCGCUACUUCUGUUUAUCCAAGUCUUUUACCAUUUGUCAGCAAGAUACCCGAAGAAGUAAUUGGAUCAAAGAUAGAAUUUUUCGCCGUGUUCUUCAAUAACUUUAGAAAAGGAUUACAGAGCGAACGUGCCUUGAUGAGCUGCACUGAGAGUUCAGCAAUUGUAUCAGCAUUUAUGGAAUGCAUAUGCUUCACUCUACACCAAAAUCUCAGAAACACUGAGGAUCACCAAAAACUCCAACAGAUGCUCAUAAGUGAACAGCUGCUACCUCUUGUAAAUUUUGCUUUGAAGAAUCCCAGACUGCAAAGUGACAUUUUCUCCAAACUCUCAGACACACUUGCCUCGUGGGAAAGACGAACUGAUAAUCCAGAUAUAGAAGAGUGGGCUGUUGCAUACGACCGACUGUUAUCUGAGUUUUGGAAAGUGCUUUCUCAAGUCUGCAUUUCUCACUUAGGCAGCAAGGAAGUUGAUAAAAAUAUAUUAGAAGGAAUCUCUUCUUUGCUCAGAUGCAUGAGAAAUCCUAAGGGCAUUACAAAACAGUCUGUCAAAAAGAAAAGUAAAAUCAGAUUUAUUGAUCAAGAAGAAAUUCAGAGUUAUGAAAGCAAUGCUACCAAUCAUCUGGAAGAAUUAAUUUUUGGAACUAAGGAUGCAUUGGAAUCUGAAAAUUUGGAGGAUACUUUAAGACAGUAUCAGGGCAGCCAUCCUGCCAGAACAGUGCCUUUGGAAGCUCUAAACUGUGAACUUGCCAAACUGAGCAUGACCUUCAUAAAUGAACAGAACUCCGAAAUGCAUUUUGUGUUCCUGACUACACUCAUUAGCUCAUUUCCAUCAACAAAGCUUUUUACUAUUUUGCUGGAAAAUGAUAAACCCGAGAGUGCUGAAUCUGUCUUUGAAACAAAUAAUGAAGUGAAAGCAAUGGCAAGUAACCCUGCUGUGCGGUUUCUGACUCAGAAACUACUAGUCUGGGUGAAAGAAGAUAAAACUGACUUAAUUUUUUUGAUUGACAUGCUCUACAGUGUUCUUCAUUGCUGCGAUAACAAUGAAAGGAAGAUACUACUGAACCAAAUCUCUCAGUUGGAUCAAGGCUGGCUCCUCGUGUUUCACAUUGUACAAAAGGCAUGUUUGGAUCAAGUUAAGUAUACUGUUAUUUCUGAUUGGUUGAAAGGAGAAGUACUUGGUGAGAAAUUGGUCUUACUUACAGACGAGCUCUGUACAAUGGGAAUAACAAGCUCUUGGCCAAAAGAUGCUCACUCAAAAAGCUGGGUGUUACUUAGCCUUGCUCUGUCUAAGCACUUCAGUAAUGAGUUCUUGAUCGCUGAAUUGUACGUUGAAAGGAUAAUUGACAGACUGCACAAUGCGCUUUCUAAGGACCUGUCUAAAACUCAGGUUGUGGAGCCACUGCUUUCCUUCGUUUGUGAUUUGGCGUCUAAUUUUUUCUGCUCCGUCAAGGAAUGUUUGCAGAUGUCAUCAGCUGAAGAUCUUCUUUCCACAAUCUUCCAGCUCUGUGCCCAAAGCCAGGAGAAGACUCAUCUGUCAGAUGCCAAUCUGCAAAAACUACAACAAACCUGGUCGCUAGGGCUAACGUCACUAAUCAAACAGCAAGAUGGGAAUUUUAGGAAGUGUGGUUUCUUUCAUUGCUCUGCAACAUGGUUGAAAACUCAAGUCCGAGCAUCGACAUUGGAUGUGAAGAGCCUCCAAGUGCUUCUUACGUGCACAUCUACUUUGCUUGAUAAGCUGAAAGCAGCUCAGUCUUCACCUCAUGGUUAUCUUAUAACAUUUAUUGAAUGCCUUGUUCCAAAUAGUACAGAAUGGGAAGAUUUGAGGCAGAAGCUGACUCCACAGUGGCUGAGUAAAGUACUGCUGAUGGAGCAGUUGAGUCUGAACAGAGAUGCCCUGUGUGCUGGUGCUGAUAUUUUCUCUUCUAACAAGAUACCAACUCAUUUGUGUACCACAGCAUUAUUAAAUUUGGUGCUGUUACAUUUAUUAGAAGCUAAUGUAUUCAAUGAACAGGAAGAAAUUCACACAGUCAUGUCUACAUCAGAAAUUGCUGCAGAAAUGCUGUAUUCUUUGCAGUGGUGUGAAGAAAUGCAAGAUAUUUGUCCUACUAUUUCUAAGUACCAUGAACUGCUACUUCAAUUUGAUAUUACACGUGAUAGACUGAUGAAAGCAUGCAGUACAUUGUCUGAAACUCUCUUCAGCAGAUCAUUACAUAGUGGAUUGCUCUGGGCUUUAACUGCAUCUCAAUUUAUUACCCGAACCAAAGUGAUUAAUGGUUGCGACCUAAAACAGUUGUACAUUACAGUGGACAGAUUUUUCCCUUUGACUGAGGCAUGCCUGCACACAAUUCAGGGCAUUGCUCCAUCUCUUCUCCAGGAAGAUAAAAAUCUUCUUGUGACCUGGUGUGCUGCAAAGCUUUCUACAAGCAAGGGCACAGAUAUUACUAGCAUUAAUGGAGGGUUUGGAAGCCUUGUUGUUAUAAAUAGCUGCCUACAGAAUGGAAUCAAUGUGGAAGGUCGCCAUAUAGAUGGUCAGUUGUUUAUUGAUGUAUUAAAUACAGUUAUGGAAUGGAGAAACUAUGAAGAAGAAAUAUUUUUGUUUGACUGUAAUUUGAAGUGUCCCGAGUCCACUUUGCUUGGAAUCAAUGUGGAAAUUCUACGCUUUCUGAGAUUGCUGAUCAAACAUUUACCAACUUCAGUAACAAGUGAACAGUGGGACUUCAUCAUGUGCUCUGUUUUGACAUGGUUGGAGACCAUGAGUGAAAUUGUAUCACUUACAUCCAAGCCAUUGGUGCUGCAUUUUGUUUGCCAAAUUUGUGGCAUGCUAUCAGAUCUUGGCCGCAUGUUUCAAGCAAUAACACCAGAAAUAAGCACAACGCUUCCUGCUAACCUUCCAAAUGAAUGGAACAACUUCUUUGUGGAAGGAGCAUAUGGACAGCUAUUACCACUGUUCUUAAAAAUUGCGGCUGAGUGCAAAGAGACCAUCCUUCUCCCUUCCUCAAUGUGUCUGUUAACAGCCUUGGGAGAAGCUUCUGCACUUGUUCCAUUGAAGCAGUUGAUGAAUCACAGUUUGCCACAUAAAUUCAUUGCUGGUCAGAAAACUAAUUUACCUGAUAAACUUCAGUCAAUCCUGAAUACCUUGGCUCCAUUGCUGCUCUGUAAGGCUCGACCUGUGCAAAUUACAAUCUACCUUAUAUUGCACAAGUUAAUGUCAGAGCUACCUGCCUUUGAUAACGAACAUUUGAAAUCUUAUGAUGACAAUGGGAAUGAUGAAGAAUAUGUUUUGUCACCACCGGCAGCACUUAUGUCAGUAAUUGAUAUUCGGGAGGAGGACUUGGAGAAUAUUUUUUAUGACAUUCCUGUUGGACAGUAUACAGAUAUUAAACCACUAAGUGAAGCUUAUUAUUCUAUUCUGGGAUAUCUGCUUGCAUGGAAGCUGCUUCUCAUAUUUUUCAAAGCAUCACCAUCUGAGUUGCGGGCCAUAUAUGCAACUUAUCUUCGCAAAAGUAAAUGCCUACAUAAAUUACUGCAACAUCUCUUCAGAUUGAUGCCAGAAAAUCCAACUAUUUCUGGACAGAGUGCUGAUUCUGCCAGUAAAGGUCAACGAACACUAUUCAGUGAGAAACAUGCCAUUCUUCUCAAAGAGACACAAACCUUAAACACAGAGAUUCCAAAGUUGGCUUGUGCAAUGUAUUAUAGUGUACUGGAAGAUUUACCAGCCACAGUUCGACUUUGGUGGAAUAAUCAAGACAAGCGUGUAUCCAGCACUGUGGAUAAAUACACAAGGAAAUAUGUCAGCAGUGUCCUUUCUUCACAGGAAAUUUCAGCUGUGCAAACCAGUACACAGUCAUUCAAGAGCAUGGUGAUCAGAACUAAGUGCAGCAGUAAAUAAGGCGAGAAAACCAAAAUCCCAAGAGCUUCAACAUAAAAAUUUGCUCUGAACAAAAUAGAUAAAUUGCUCAAGAUGCGGCAGAACCCUCUGGCACAGCACAUUGAUCUCUCAAACAUUUCUUCGAACACCUUGCAGUUAGUAAAGCCUUUGACAAGGUUCUGCAUGGGAGAAUAUGUAGUUACUUUAGAUCAGAUGGAAUUCAAGGAGAGCUUGCCAUUUGGAUUCAAAAUUGGUUUGACAGUAGACAACAGAAGUGGUGGGUGUUUGUUUUUCGGACUGGAGACCUGUGACCAGUGGUGUUCGGAAGGGACUGAUGCUGGGUCCAUUUUGUCAUUUGUGGAAAUGAUUUGGAUGAGAAUUCAGGAGGCAUGAUUAGUAAAUUCACAGAUGACCCCAAAAUUGGUGGUAUCGCUGACAAUGAGGAAGAUUACAAAGUAUUCUUGAUCAUUUGAGCCAAUAGACUGAGGAGUGACAGAUGGAGUUUAGUUUGGAUAAAUGUGAGAUAUUGCAUUUUGGUAAAACAAACAAGACCAGGACUUCUCCAGUUAAUGGUAGGGCCCUGGGUAGUGUUGUCGAACAGAGCGACCUAGGAAUGCAGUUAUGUAGUUCUUUAAAAGUUGUGUCGCAGGUAGACAGGGUGAUUACGAAGGUGUUUUGCACACUUGCCUUCAUUGCUUUGACCAUUAAGUAUAGUUGUGACAUUUAUUGAUCUUUUUUAGGCUGUUGGUGAGGCCAUGUUUGGAGUACUGUAUACAGCUCUGGUCGUCCUGCCAUGGGAAAGAUGUUAUUAAAUUGCAGAGAUUUCAGAAGAAGAUUUACUGGGAUGUUGCCAGGUCAGGAGGGUUUGAGUUAUAAGGAUUGACUGGACUUUUUUUCACUGGAGCAUAGAAGGUUCAGGGGUGAACAGAACUUUAUAAAAUCAUGAGGGACAUAGAUAAGGUGGAUAGCAACGGUGUUUCACCUAGGGUGGGGAAUUCAAAACUACAUGGCAUAUUUUUAGGGUGAGAGGAGAAAGAUUAAAAGUGACUUGAAGGGCAAUUCUUUCACACACAGGUCUAUAUGUGGAAUGAAUGAACUGCCAGAGGGAGUGCUAGAUGCAGGUACAGUUAGAACAUUUAAAAGACAUUUGGAUAGAUACAUAAAUAAGAGAGGUUUUGAGGGAUAUGGGCCAAAUAUAGGCAAAUAGGGGUAGUCUCCAAUGGGAAACUUAGUUGGCGUGGAUGAAUUGGACCAAAGGGUCUGUUUCCAUGCUGUAUGAUUCUAUAACAUAUGAAGGGCUACACUCUGCCAUCAAAGUUCAAAUCCAGAGAGAGAAAGAAAACGCAUGGAUGAAAGUUAAAGAGGCAUUCUAACAUAAUAAAGCUGGAUACUUAGCUGAAACACUAUGCAGACUUGACUCUUUUUCCUGUGAAGAGUGGCUUCUAAGAUGAAAGUCAUACAUCAACAUAUGGAUCUACCGUACAAACAAAAAGUGAAAUGUCGCAGCUGCAGAGUAGGAAAAUGCUGCAACUUAAAGGUGUGAACUGUGGAAUAUUUUCAGUUUUAAUGUGACUGGCACAUAGUUGCGUUAGCAAUAGACUGACUCACUAUCAAAGGUAAAUUUUUACUUUGCUAAAUAAAAAUGAGGAAAAGAAAUUACCCGCUGCAAUGUUGAUAGCAGUACUAGACCAGGUGUCAAAGAAAGGACUCACUCAAUCAUUUAUCCUUGGUGACCACAAUACACCGUCGAAAUGUUGACACCGAAUGUAAGUGAGGACAUCAGUAUGAUGUAUCAUCAAAAUGAUGAUGAAGGAGAACUGAUGAAAAGAGUGAAGAGAUUAUGUGAACAUUCACCAGCGUUUGCUUUGAUUCUGACAUUUUGGCGUUGUAAGGAGCAACACCCUGAUCUGGAGUGGACUGCAACAUACUAAAGAAGAUGAGCAACAUUAGACACCCACACUACCAGGGACAAGUUCUAGGCAUAAGUGAAAGCUCGCCCUGUGGCCCGAGAAGUACUUGCAACUUAUUCUGUGGAUGACAUAUUCAUUGAGCUCGUUAUACAGUUACCAACAAACUAUCCUCUUGGAUCAAUCACUGUG